GAUGAAGAACGUAGCGAAAUGCGAUAAGUAAUGUGAAUUGCAGAAUUCAGUGAAUCAUCGAAUCUUUGAACGCACAUUGCGCCCCUUGGUAUUCCGAGGGGCAUGCCUGUUCGGGCGUCAUUAUAACCCUCAAGCUCAGCUUGGUGUUGGGGCCUGCUGCAGUGGCAGCCCUUAAAAUCAGUGGCGGCGCCAUCUGGCUCUAAGCGUAGUAAUUCUUCUCGCUAUGGAGUCCUGGUGGAUGCUUGCCAUCAACCCCCAAUUUUUCUAUGGUUGACCUCGGAUCAGGUAGGGAUACCCGCUGAACUUAAGCAUAUCAAUAAGCGGAGGA
rnacentral:misc_RNA from 1 species